UGCCAGAUAGACAGCCGCCCUUUCCAUUAUCUUUUUCUCUAAUUGAUAGCACAUAUGCAUGUACAACUGAGACAUACUUGAAUGAAUGGCAGUAAUGUAGACCAAAUCCGUUGGAGUGGAAGUAUAUUAAACUUGGGGAGUAGCAGCAGGUUAUAUUUCCGGUUUGGUUUGAAUAUGCAUUACAUACGAUGACUUGUCCACAUGCUCCUAUCCAUCAAGUCGUUGUAUUUCAGCCCUAAGACUUGCUGCUGCAUUUCAUCUACGCAUAGAACUUUGCGAUGAAUUCGUCCGCCUUCACGUCCACACUGGCAUCCUCAUCGCCCUCCACCGCACCCACCGAGCCAACACUCGCCUUCAUCAUCGCCUGCUCGAGCAGUUGCUCAUCUGUGCCAUCAUCGACCCACACGUGGGCGUCGCAGAAAAGUAGAUGUCAACACCAUAGAAGCCGGGGAUGUCCAGGACAGAAGGCGCGAUGUAGGGGAUAAACUGGAGUUGAGGGGUUCGAAACCAGAACGUUGGCGUCUCGUCAAUUGUUCCCACUCGACAUGGUACAUUCUGGUUCAUUGUACAUUUUCCUAGAAAUUUAAAUAAGAGUAUUAGAACAAUUCAGGAAAAAAAGUUUAUAUUCUGCAAGAUUAUUUCAUCCAUUCUACAAGCAUGUGCAACAUAGUUUGCAGACAUAAAAUAAAUUAAGUCUACAGAGAUGAUGAGUACAAACCUUCUUCUGGCUCGAUCUGAUGACCACGUCCAUAUUCUUUUCCAUUCCCUAGUUGUGAAAAUACUGCUCUGCUAAGGGAAGAUAUAGGUAAACAGUGAGAUACAAUUCAUUUGUCUUAUAUUAACUCCACAGGAACACACUCUAGUGGUAUUUUUAUAUAAAGGCAUUUAUGUUCCGAGGUUUAGCUUGGCUGCU
rnacentral:lncRNA from 1 species